CCUGCCGGAGGCCAUUGCUAUCGGGGUCCGAUUCAGCCAUGCUAGUUGUACGGGUUUAGACCCGUAGCAAAUAGCUCCGUAACACGUGGUCAAACUACCCUCUGGACCAGAAUACCCUCGGGAAACUGAGGUUAAUUCCGGAUACUGCUUUCAUGUUGGAACACAGAAAGUCGGAAACGGUCCGCCGCCGGAGGACGUGACUGCGGCCGAUUAGGUAGACGGUGGGGUAACGGCCCACCGUGCCGAUAAUCGGUACGGGUUGUGAGAGCAAGAACCCGGAGACGGUAUCUGAGACAAGAUACCGGGCCCUACGGGGCGCAGCAGGCGCGAAACCUUUACACUGCACGCCAGUGCGAUAAGGGGACCCCGAGUGCGAGGGCAUACAGUCCUCGCUUUUCGUGACCGUAAGAAGGUCUCAGAAUAAGAGCUGGGCAAGACCGGUGCCAGCCGCCGCGGUAAUACCGGCAGCUCGAGUGAUAGCCACUAUUAUUGGGCCUAAAGCGUCCGUAGCCGGCCGAACAGGUCCGUCGGGAAAUCCACCCGCUCAACGGGUGGACGUCCGGCGGAAACCAGUCGGCUUGGGGCCGGGAGACCAGAGAGGUACGUCCGGGGUAGGAGUGAAAUCCUGUAAUCCUGGACGGACCGUCGGUAGCGAAAGCGUCUCUGGAGAACGGACCCGACGGUGAGGGACGAAAGCUUGGGUCUCGAACCGGAUUAGAUACCCGGGUAGUCCAAGCUGUAAACGAUGCUCGCUAGGUGUGGCGUUGGCUACGAGCCAGCGCUGUGCCGUAGGGAAGCCUAGAAGCGAGCCGCCUGGGAAGUACGUCCGCAAGGAUGAAACUUAAAG
rnacentral:rRNA from 1 species